UUAAGAUUCCACGAGUCUUUCGCUAUAAAUACCCAGAGAUUGCUUCGUCGACAAUCAUCGGGGAGAUUUCUAAUUAGCGAGCGUUUGGAUUCAUCCUCUUCAUUGGAUCAUUGUGUUCUCUUCUUCAAAAUUGACUUUCGAUUUCUCCAGAAUCAACAGAUCGAAUAUGGUAAAUCAAACUUUUCUCUCGGGCUUAGGGUUUAUAGAAUUCGGCUGUUUUGAUCAAGAUUGGGGUUCUUUUCUGUUUUUUAUCAGUGUUCAAGAAGAGAUCCCGACGCCAAGAAAAUCGGUGAACGCGACAUCCUUAUGCUCAAGCGAUUCUUCGUUUCGUUAUUGUCUGCGUUUAAGAUCGUCAGUUUCAUCGCUGAAAUUGAUCGAUUGUCUAUGAAAUUCUUCCAAUCGCUCUCGAUUCUGAUAAGCACGCGAUGAUCAUCAUGAAUUCUUGCGUAGAUUUGAAUUCCGUUACAGCCGGAGAUGGAGUUGUUCGCAGUGGUUUUCUUGAAACGAAAUUUGUAAGGGAAAGAAGGAGAACGAUAACCGGCUUGAAAGCUCCAAGAUUUUGAUUCUGUUUUGAGUUCUUUCGAAGAUUGGCGGGAAUUCCUUCAACCCAACAUUUUAAAGCGAUUAAAUUCUUAUGAAGUAUCUGGUUAUAGGAGGAUGAUGUAUAUUGUGGGGGGGUGGGGAUUGAACAUUGGACUUCUUAAAAAAGAAGUUGCUGGUGCUUUUAACUAUUGAAGAACCUGUGCUUGUUGCCAAGCCUUGUGGAGUGAUGGAAAGGUAUAUGUGUGAAGCUUUGUUGUCAUGUAGUUGACCUUUGCCAUGACAGGUGCGCUUGCUUGGCAGGUCAAAAUACAUCAAUAAAAGUUUCGUUUUUUGGGUGUCUUGGGGAGGGGAUGGCACGGGGUCAUUUUACUAUUUUUGCCCGGCUCUUCCUCCCCACCCUCUCUCUCUCUCUCUCUCUGUCUCUCUCUCUCUCUCCCAUUUUCUAUAUUUUUGCUCAGACUUUCCUCAGUCCACUAUUCAAACAACGUACAAACAAACUAAAAGGAGUGUGUGCAGCAACUGAAUGGAUCAUGAGACUUCAACUUUAAGCAUGUUUAUCCACAUAGAAAGAUGAUUAUGCAAAUGGGCUUUUGUUUUGGAUAUUCAUUGAUUUGCUGUAUAAACUCCAACUCCAUACCUGCAUUCAUGGCUCUUUGGCUGGUGAGAAAUUGUUGGCCGGUAGUUUUACACCGGAGAGAAUAUUUGGAAAUACUGGAGAACGAUAGCAAGACCAGGGAGAGACUGUUCUAGAGCUCCAACUUCGCCGAAUUGUGGAAUUUCAACUAGAUUUGGAAGAUGAUGCUGAUUUGGAUGGGGAGCCUCAAAAUCAAAUUGUCAUUUGCUUUGGCCAGCAGUGUCGAGCAUCAUGGUCGGAAAGAUUGUUGAGACUAGUGCAAAGCUGGAUCCUCAAUUUCAAUGCCUGGCUUGAAGACCAGUGUGUUCUACUAGAGGUGUGAUGUUAGGUUGUAAAUUUGUAAUUAUAAGUUUAUUUUGUAUAGUGUUGUUCAGGUUUAGCUAGAGUGAUUUAAUCUUUACUUAGAUGGCAAUCAAUGUAAUGAGUUCCUAUUUCCCACAGCCCUAGCCUAUUUUAUAAAGGCAGGGGUUCCCUUUCUGUAAACACACAUUUUCGUAAUAAAUAAAAUAACCUUUUUUUCCUAA